rnacentral:rRNA from 1 species
GAUGAACGCUGGCGGCGUGCCUAAUACAUGCAAGUCGAGCGAACGGACGAGAAGCUUGCUUUUCUGAUGUUAGCGGCGGACGGGUGAGUAACACGUGGAUAACCUACCUAUAAGACUGGGAUAACUUCGGGAAACCGGAGCUAAUACCGGAUAAUAUUUUGAACCGCAUGGUUCAAAAGUGAAAGACGGUCUUGCUGUCACUUAUAGAUGGAUCCGCGCUGCAUUAGCUAGUUGGUAAGGUAACGGCUUACCAAGGCAACGAUGCAUAGCCGACCUGAGAGGGUGAUCGGCCACACUGGAACUGAGGCACUGUCCAGACUCCUACGGGAGGCAGCAGUAGGGAAUCUUCCGCAAUGGGCGAAAGCCUGACGGAGCAACGCCGCGUGAGUGAUGAAGGUCUUCGGAUCGUAAAACUCUGUUAUUAGGGAAGAACAUAUGUGUAAGUAACUGUGCACAUCUUGACGGUACCUAAUCAGAAAGCCACGGCUAACUACGUG